UGAACGCUAGCGGCAGGCUUAACACAUGCAAGUCGCGGGGCAGCGCGGGUAGCAAUACCUGGCGGCGACCGGCGGAAGGGUGCGUAACGCGUGAGCAACAUGCCCGUCUCAGGGGGAUAACCGAUGGAAACGUCGCCUAAUACCCCGUAACAACAGAAGUCGCAUGGUUUCUGUUUGAAAGCUCCGGCGGAGACGGAUUGGCUCGCGUGACAUUAGCUGGUUGGCGGGGUAACGGCCCACCAAGGCGACGAUGUCUAGGGGUUCUGAGAGGAAGGUCCCCCACACUGGAACUGAGACACGGUCCAGACUCCUACGGGAGGCAGCAGUGAGGAAUAUUGGUCAAUGGACGCAAGUCUGAACCAGCCAUGCCGCGUGCAGGAAUGAGGCCCUAUGGGUCGUAAACUGCUUUUGCUGCGGAGCAAUAAGUGGCACGUGUGCCACGAUGAGAGUACGCGGCGAAUAAGCAUCGGCUAACUCCGUGCC
rnacentral:rRNA from 1 species